GUCAUUUAUCUUCUGUUUUCUGGUUAAAAUAGUUAUAUAAGUCAUCUUAUCCUACUAAAUAUUCACUAAAAUAUCCGCCUCUUCGUCGAUGUAAGAAUCAAGUGUUCAGCAGCGAGCCUUUGUUACGUGACGUCACGCCGAGUCACAGAGCGCGCGCGGAAACGGGCCAUGGCUGAAAGGGGAACAGACAGUGUCGUGGGUGUAUCAGACCCUCCAAAACAACCUCCCAAACGCAGACGCAUCCUCGACGCCUCCUCCAUCACAACAGUACCUGUUUACUCCAACAAGGUUAACAGCUCCUUGAAUCUGAAGCCAAUAACCUUCAAACACACCAGUCUCACAGAUGAGGAAAAGGGUGGUCCUCUGUGGUCUCCUUCCCCACCUCGCACAGAGAAACGGCCAAUCAGCAUUGACCUGAGUGGUUCCGAGGAGGAGCCAGAACAGACUGAAGCUCAGGAAAUCCUUCGCUCCCCCUCCCCACCCCCUCCACCAUGUAAUCCACCAGCGAAACGGAGCAGACGGGCAAACCAAAAAAUACAAGAAAUCAACAGGAAAUUGGAUGCGAUUGGCUCUCUGGUGUGUCUCUCGCCUGAGCCUCAGGAACCUGUGGUUGAAUACAGAAAUUCUCCAUCUCCUGUGAAGGACUAUGCUGAUGAUGAUGACAUUAUCAUAAUUUCUUCUGACAGCAAAAAGAAAAGACGUCCACUAAAUACUGAGGACAGAGACUGUGCACGAGAAAUUUCACUGAAAUUUCGCUGUCGGACAGAGUUGCACAAAAUCCCAAUACUGUCUGUAAGUGGAAUAAACACUUUUGUUUAUGACGUAUUACUCGAUAUGUGGCAUGUUUGUUUGGUAGAAAUAUAUGAAUAG
rnacentral:lncRNA from 1 species